UCUGGUAUGGCACUAAGUGGCUAGUUUAGGCGCUGGGCAUUGCGAAGAUAAUGAGUUCUCUACGUUCUUAAUGCCGAGGGAGCACUCUGGGUCGUUGAGCGUUGUGCUCUUUGUUUGAGGGGCGUUGAGCGCCACUUCUCUGCUAGGGGAUUGGAUAUCUGUUUCUCUUAAUUUGUUGAGUGAGUGACUUGUUCGUUGGGCG
rnacentral:lncRNA from 1 species